rnacentral:rRNA from 1 species
GCAGUCGAACGGCAGCAUGAUCUAGCUUGCUAGAUUGAUGGCGAGUGGCGAACGGGUGAGUAAUACAUCGGAACGUGCCCUGUAGUGGGGGAUAACUAGUCGAAAGAUUAGCUAAUACCGCAUACGACCUGAGGGUGAAAGUGGGGGACCGCAAGGCCUCAUGCUAUAGGAGCGGCCGAUGUCUGAUUAGCUAGUUGGUGAGGUAAAGGCUCACCAAGGCGACGAUCAGUAGCUGGUCUGAGAGGACGAUCAGCCACACUGGGACUGAGACACGGCCCAGACUCCUAUGGGAGGCAGCAGUGGGGANUUUUGGACAAUGGGGNCAACCCUGAUCCAGCAAUGCCGCGUGUGUGAAGAAGGCCUUCGGGUUGUAAAGCACUUUUGUCCGGAAAGAAAUCGCACUUACUAAUAUUAGGUGUGGAUGACGGUACCGGAAGAAUAAGGACCGGCUAACUACGUGCCAGCAGCCGCGGUAAUACGUAGGGUCCAAGCGUUAAUCGGAAUUACUGGGCGUAAAGCGUGCGCAGGCGGUUGUGCAAGACCGAUGUGAAAUCCCCGGGCUUAACCUGGGAAUUGCAUUGGUGACUGCACGGCUAGAGUGUGUCAGAGGGGGGUAGAAUUCCACGUGUAGCAGUGAAAUGCGUAGAGAUGUGGAGGAAUACCGAUGGCGAAGGCAGCCCCCUGGGAUAACACUGACGCUCAUGCACGAAAGCGUGGGGAGCAAACAGGAUUAGAUACCCUGGUAGUCCACGCCCUAAACGAUGUCAACUAGUUGUUGGGGAUUCAUUUCCUUAGUAACGUAGCUAACGCGUGAAGUUGACCGCCUGGGGAGUACGGUCGCAAGAUUAAAACUCAAAGGAAUUGACGGGGACCCGCACAAGCGGUGGAUGAUGUGGAUUAAUUCGAUGCAACGCGAAAAACCUUACCUACCCUUGACAUGCCACUAACGAAGCAGAGAUGCAUUAGGUGCUCGAAAGAGAAAGUGGACACAGGUGCUGCAUGGCUGUCGUCAGCUCGUGUCGUGAGAUGUUGGGUUAAGUCCCGCAACGAGCGCAACCCUUGUCUCUAGUUGCUACGAAAGGGCACUCUAGAGAGACUGCCGGUGACAAACCGGAGGAAGGUGGGGAUGACGUCAAGUCCUCAUGGCCCUUAUGGGUAGGGCUUCACACGUCAUACAAUGGUGCAUACAGAGGGUUGCCAAGCCGCGAGGUGGAGCUAAUCCCAGAAAAUGCAUCGUAGUCCGGAUCGUAGUCUGCAACUCGACUACGGAAGCUGGAAUCGCUA